UGGGGAAUAUUGCACAAUGGGGGAAACCCUGAUGCAGCAACGCCGCGUGAAGGAAGAAGGCCUUCGGGUUGUAAACUUCUUUUACCAGGGACGAAGGACGUGACGGUACCUGGAGAAAAAGCAACGGCUAACUACGUGCCGGCAGCCGCGGUAAUACGUAGGUUGCGAGCGUUGUCCGGAUUUACUGGGUGUAAAGGGCGUGUAGGCGGAGAAGCAAGUUGGGAGUAAAAUCUAUGGGCUCAACCCAUAAACUGCUCUCAAAACUGUUUCCCUUGAGUAUCGGAGAGGCAAGCGGAAUUCCUAGUGUAGCGGUGAAAUGCGUAGAUAUUAGGAGGAACACCAGUGGCGAAGGCGGCUCGCUGGACGACAACUGACGCUGAGGCGCGAAAGCGUGGGGAGCAAACAGG
rnacentral:rRNA from 1 species